ACGCACGCUGGCGGCGUGCUUCACCCCUGCCAGUCGAACGGAAAGGCCCUGCUUUUGUGGGGUGCUCGAGUGGCGAACGGGUGAGUAACACGUGAGUAACCUGCCCUUGACUUUGGGAUAACUUCAGGAAACUGGGGCUAAUACCGGAUAGGAGCUCCUGCUGCAUGGUGGGGGUUGGAAAGUUUCGGCGGUUGGGGAUGGACUCGCGGCUUAUCAGCUUGUUGGUGGGGUAGUGGCUUACCAAGGCUUUGACGGGUAGCCGGCCUGAGAGGGUGACCGGCCACAUUGGGACUGAGAUACGGCCCAGACUCGUACGGGAGGCAGCAGUGGGGAAUAUUGCACAAUGGGCGGAAGCCUGAUGCAGCAACGCCGCGUGCGGGAUGACGGCCUUCGGGUUGUAAACCGCUUGCGCCUGUGACGAAGCGUGAGUGACGGUAAUGGGUAAAGAAGCACCGGCUAACUACGUG
rnacentral:rRNA from 1 species